ACAGGGACCAUCCUGCCAGUCAGUCACAGGGACCAUCCUGCCAGUCAGUCACAGGGACCAGCCUGUUGCAGAGGGGCCAUACAACCGGUGGGCCGACUUCAAAUCCCGCCUGAAGGCAAAGAGGGCUGCGGAGUGGAAUGCCUCAAGGGCUACAGGUGGAGGAGCACCUGUCGCUGUAGAGUAUACUGACUUGGAGGAGAUGGCGAUGCCCUGUGUCAGUUAUGAGGAGGGCCAAGGGGUGUCUCAUAUGGACACGGACCUGCCUGAGAUCCUGACGGGACAUGACUUGGAAGCACAGGGGGGUGAUCCGUUUGAGUCACAGGACGGUUAUGUGGUUGAGGCUGAGGUGGAGGGACCUAGUGAGUCUGGCAGUGUGGGCCAACAAAUCCCACCUCUGCAGGUUCCUACUGGCCCCCCCACCCAACCCUCUGCUAUCCCGGAGAU